CGACAGAUUUGUUAAGUAACACGUUAAUAUCAUCCACAGUCUACUUUAAGUACUUUUUGUUAAUAUUUAUACCUCUGCGAUUAUGGUAUUUUUCCUGAAAUGUCUGCUAUCAAGUAUUACGCUAGCAUAGAAACAUAAUUAACGUUAUAGCAUAUUAGAUUUGAGCCCUUAUUAAUGAAAGUUUGGCCUUUUAAUUACAUCUUAUGCCUAAAGGAUCGGUUUUGAUCGUUUUGUAAAUGUUUUUGAUGGUAAUUUGUCAAUAGAUAAAUGAAAUAAAGUUAAGCUAAUUAAUUUAACCUAAAAAUCUGCAUUGUAGAGUCUAUCAGUGACGUCACUCGUGGUCUAAAAUGGGCUGAAACUAUUUUAAACCACUGUUUCAAGCUUGUUCUGAUUUAUCAUUGUAAACAAAUAUUGAUAAAAAAAAUUGUACAGUGAUUUCAGGAGUGUCUUAAAAACCCUCUAAAACAGAGGAGAAGUUCCAAGAAAAUGUCUAACGGGACCUGCUGACAGAGAUAGAAAACACAGUUUGUUUAUUUCUAAUAAGGAGCUGGAGGCCGUGAAGAUACAGAUCCAUGAUAUUGUGGAGAAGCAGGCCCAGCUGAGCGAGUGGAGAGCUGUGCUGGAAAUAUUCAGGGGUUGAUGCUCAUAAGUCCAGGGUAAGUAUACAGCUAACCCUACUACCACCUCUACUCUGUGUGGUUCUCUGCAAAGGCCCGGUGUACCCAGGAUGCGAUCUUCCCAGAUGUCCUUCACCCUAUUUCAUAGUGUAAGACAUGAUCCAGGCCCUGGGCGACGACCUCUCUCCAUCCGCCGCCUCCGGUCUUCAGGAUCUCCACCAGAACCCGAUUCGCUCCACUUCGCGAGACAGAACAAAACGCUGUGAUCAUCAGAGACUCCAUCGUCCGGCACGUUUGCGCUAUGUUAGCUGAAGGUAAAGUCCACACUGACUACUUCCCUGGUGCUCAUGUUCUUGAUAUUUCUGCACAGAUUCCCGUGACCCUGAAGAGUGAGGUGGGCAUCAGAGCGGACGGAGACACUGAAGAGGGACUUCAGGAGCCUGAUCAAGACAGUGCGCAGCAUAUCGCCUGCAUGAUGAUCAUCGUGUCAGGACCACUUCCCACGUAUAGAUGAGGACAUGAAAGGCUUUUUAGAUCUCCUGUUGGACAACAUCUCCAGGACACUUCGCUCCAUAUGACUAGGCAGUUUGUGAAAAGAGAUAAUCAAGAGAAGUCAGUUCCAGAUCCACCCUCCACACCAGACCUCUCUCUCACGAGGAUUGCUGUCUACUAGCAUAUUGUGUUCUUCAGCUCUUCAGACUUCGGUGGAUGCAGAUAUUACUCAGGGACAUGAACACUAGAAUAUUGCAAGAAUAGAGAAAAGGGACUUUGCGGGGGAUUCUUGAAAAUAGAUUAGCUUCACACAGACGUCUUCUAACUGUCACAGUACUUACAGGUAACUCCAGACUGUCUUUGAUCAUCCUGGAGGUGAUCAUUGGCUGAGCCUUUGCCAUUCUGGUUAUUCUUCUAUCCAUUUUGAUGGUUGUCUUCCGUUUUCUUCCACGUCUCUGGUUUUGCUCUCCAUUUUAAGGCAUUGGAGAUCAUUUUAGCUGAACAGCCUAUCAUUUUUUGCACCUCUUUAUAGGUUUUCCCCUCUCUAAUCAAC